rnacentral:lncRNA from 1 species
ACCUGUCUGAUGCUGAGUUCCUAAGUCUGUAAAGAAGCCCUGAAAGCACUUCAGCCUGUAUGCAGCAUGAAUUUGACCAAAAAUAUGUUAAAAAUUAAAAAAUCAUCAUAUUUUAUUCAAGAAAAGGAAUUUGUACAGUGUUUCUUGAGUAAAAUCAUUACCUGGAAGAAUUCUAAGAACAUAUCAUUGAACAAAAUGACAGGCUCGUGGAAUGCUUCAGCUUGAACUUUGGCAACUUUCUUCAUUUCUUCUUCUGUCUCAACCAUUCUCCUCACUUGCCAAUUGUUGUCUCUAACAAGACUCUCGUAA